GACUCUCAUUCGUGCAUUCCAAUGGCUUUCCUCUCUUUUCCUUUGGGAUCCAGUAUUAAUGUAGUUGCCCCUGGCCCUGGCAGUCCGAUGAUGACGACACUCAUCCCCAACUUUCCAAUGAUUUCGCAUCUCCUCAGCGUUUUUUAACACUCUAAUACCCAGCACCAACAAGUUGUCGUUCCACUCCCAGCCCCACCCAUGCCCAAAUCAGAAUAGAGCUGCUGCAACUGCCACUAAUGAUGCUGGAGAGUAGAUUGCCCACAACAAUUUCAAUGGCCUGUGAAGGCUUCAGUUUCCAGAAAUUUAAAAUCCCCAAUAUCAGACUACCUUCUUCGAAAUCAAUAUGUACUACAAAUGCUUCUGCAAGUUGUUCUUUUCCAAGACAUGUUUGUGCAGUGCCUCACCAGGAGGUAGAACCGCGGGGUAGUGUUUGGGGUAGACUGGGCAAGCCGUGUGAUGAAUUAUCUGUGAGCAGCAAAACUGAGCUGCAUGAUGCUGGCAUUAGGGAGCAAAAAGUGCUUGACUACCAUGUAUAAAUGCAUCUUGUGCCAGAAGGAGGAGCCAGUAAGAAUAAGUAUUUUUGUGAAAUUAGCACUGGCCAUGCAAUUUGUGCAGUUUCUUCAGAUACUGAGAGGAACAUAGAUAUUGAAUGCAAAGCCCCUUUGCAGGAUUUGAAGAAACUAAACUUGGGCACCAAGGAUCAAAAACUACUCCAAAUUUUGUUUCGUUCUGUUCUUUGCCUACUUAUUCUUUGUCAUGAAAUUAAAAAACAGCAUGCCUGCACAAGCUGUGAGAAGCAGCUUUAGAUAAACAGUUGAAUAUCUUUUUCCUUCUGCAAGAUAGUAUAGAAUAGUUGUUAGCCAGGACUCUAGUUGAGUUUUUGUUGAAGCAUAGGAUCUUUUUCAGGAAGUACUAGAUUUGAAACAAAGAUUGCACCAAAUUGAAACAAAAAUGUCAAAAGCUUUGGACAAAGCAGGAAGGAAAGGAGGAAGAUGGGAAAACAAAUUUAUUACUAUCACAUUCUGCUAUUGUAACUUUCAUAUGAGGUGUGAUUUCUUGGAUGUAUUAACUAUCACAUUCUGGUAUGGUUAUAUUAAGAGUAGACAGUAGCAAUCUCAGUUAUGUGUUGCAGUUCAACCUCAUGUAAAUUGGUCAGCGCAACUCAGUAAAGGAGUACUUGUUCUCACUUAUGAUUUUUACCUCUAACAGAAUACUAACCUGUCAGGUGCAUUUUGGUGCUACUAAGGAAGCUUUAUCAUUGUAUUUUGCCAAAUGUGGGGUGGUUGAGAAUGUGGUGAUUUUAACUGACAAAGUAACUGGCCGGCCAAGAGGGUCUUCUUACAUUACUUUUGCUGGCAAGGAGUCUCUUGACAAGGCAGUUACUUUGUGUGGAGCUACAUUUGUCUCGAGAAUUGUGAAGGUCUGAAGGAAGGUGGAUGCAGCUGCUGCAGUUUCUCACCUUAACUGGAAGACUAUUCAGAGCAGAAUAUUAUCCUGGCUCUCAUCUGUGUUAGCCUUAUCAGAACCGUCAGUUCCAGCAACUGUUGAACGAGGAGGAGUUAUGGCCUCCAUACAACAGCUUUCAGGUUAACUUGCUUCAGAAACGUUCAGGGGUAGAGACUUCAUAACAGGUUGUGAAGCUGCAGAUCCUUGGGAAAUCCCUGGAAUAUAGUGUUGUAGAGGAUAAAAAAGCUCCUGUAAAUAAGAAAUAUGGUGGUUUUUCUCCGUUUGUUGUUUCUUUUGUUACCACUUGUUUUGGCAUACCAAUACUGGUUAUUAGGGAAAUCAUAGGACUAUGGGGUACAUAAAGUGCCGAGUUUUAAAGUGUUUGAAUGAUUGUGAAAAAAGGAUGAUUGUUAUUGUAAAUAAGCUCGCGCGGUAGUGCUAGUACUAGAGCACACCAUUUCAUGGUGAUUGUAAGUUGCAAUGUUAAGACUCGUUGAAACAGGCAACUCUGAGAUUUGAUUUA
rnacentral:sRNA from 1 species